CCCCCCCCCCAUUGCAAACCGGGGGCUGGUGAGGAGUGCACGGGGGCGUGCGGUGCACGUCGGGUUGCAGUGAAGGACUUGUGCAAUGCACGGUGCUGUGCGAGGUACAAUGCCGUGCAAUGCACGUUGCUUUGCAGUGAAGGACUUGUGCAAUGCACGGUGGGUUGCAGUGAAGGACUUGUGCAAUGCACGGUGCUGUGCAAUGCACUUUGUGGUGCAGUGAAGCACUUGUGCAAUGCACGGUGCUUUGCAAUGAAGGACUUGUGCAAUGCACGGUGUUGUGCAAGGUGCAACACUGCAGUGCACAUGGGGUUGCAAUGAAGCACUUGUGCAAUGCACGGUGCUGUGCAGUGCACUCACUUUUUGCAGUGAAGGACUUGUGCAAUGCACGGUGCCCUGCAAUGCUCACUGCUUUGUAAUGAAGGACUCGUGCAAUGCACGGCGUUGUGCAAGGUACAAUGCUGUGCAAUGCACAGUGCUUUGCAAUGAAGCACUUGUGCAAUGCACGGUGUUGUGCAAGGUACAGUGCUGUGCAAUGCACGUUGCAUUGCAAUGAAGGACUUGUGCAAUGCACGGUGCUUUGCAGUGUAGGACUUGUGUGAUGCACGGUGUUGUGCAAGGUGCAACACUGUGUAGUGCACUUUGUGUUGCAAUGAAGCACUUGUGCAAUGCACGGUGUUGUGCAAGGUACGACGCUGUGCAAUGCACGGUGCUUUGCAAUGAAGGACUUGUGCGAUGCACAGUGUUGUGCGAGGUGCAACAUUGUGCAGUGCACAUUGGGUUGCAAUGAAGGACUUGUGCAACGCACGGUGCUGUGCAAUGCACUCACUUUUGCAGUGAAGGACUUGUGCAAUGCACGGUGCCGUGCAAUGCACUUUGUGAUGCAAUGAAGCACUUGUGCAAUGCACAGUGUUGUGCAAGGUACAAUGCUGUGCAAUGCACAUUGGGUUGCAGUGCAGGACUUGUGCAAUGCACGGUGUUGUGCAAGGUACAAUGCCGUGCAGUGCACAUUGGGUUGCAGUGAAGGACUUGUGCAAUGCACGGUGUUGUGCAAGGUACAACGCUGCGCAGUGCACAUUGCUUUGCAUUGAAGGACUUGUGCAACGCACGCUGCUGUGCAAUGCACGGCGGGGUGCAGUGCACAACGCCAUGGAUUUUGCAGUGGACUCGUGCAAUGCACGGCGCUGUGCACUGCACUCUUUUGCAAAGAAGCACUUGUGCAAUGCACGACGCCUUGGAUCUUGCACUUGUGCAAUGCAUGGUGGAGGACUUGUGCAGCGCACAAUCCUCUGCAAUGCAGCAGCCCUUGUACUGCAGCGCUUGUGCAAUGCACUGUGCUUUGCUUUUGCAAUCCCGGCCUCGUGCAAUGCACCAUUUCCAGCAGCGAAGGAGCUUUGGGUGCGCACCGAUGCAACACACUCAUGGCUUUGCACGGGAGCUGCACUGUGUUCACCCAGAAGCACUCGUGCAACGCACGGCAUUGUGCAACGCCGCACCUUUUGCAGGGCAGCACUCGUGCAAUGAGCAGGGUGGGACUGUGCGAGUGUGCAAUGCACAGCAUUGUGAACUGGGCGACCUCGUGCAAUGCACCACUGUAAGCAACACCCCCCCGUGCAAAGCUUGACCCUCGUGCGACCUCGUGCACCCGCUGUGAGUUCCUCGUGGAUGUGCAAGAGCUGCGGACGGAGGGAACCACAGGCCCUCGUGCAAUGGAUGACCGCUUCAGUGCAACAGUGGCCUUGUGCAACGUGGGACCUUGUGCGACGCGGGACCUUGUGCAACACGGGACCUUGUGUGACACGCCGUGGGGCAGCUGCAAAAGGUGCAAGAGACACAGACAUGCCAUGGCUCCGUGCAACACGGGGCCUCGUGCACCGGACUCGUGCGAGCAGCAGCUGCCCUCACGCCAUGACUUGUGCUCGGGCCUCGUGCGCCGCGCUGCUUGGUGCCGUGGACUUGUGCACCAGCGGCGUGCAACGGGAUGGUGCCACGCGCUGCAGCAUCGUGCGAUGGACACUGUGCGACGUGGGGCCUCGUGCAAGGACCUCAUGCAACGCAGGGCCUCAUGCACCGGCCUUGUGUAGGUGGACUGUGUAAUACCCUCGUGCAACAUGAGGCUCCUGUGGAAGGGCCCGGUGCACCUGCGUUGCGCAACACAGGGUCGUGUGCAACACUAGGGUGCCACAUGGGGUCUUGUGCACCUGCAUGGUGCGACACAGGGCCUUGUGCAAAUGCAUUGUGCCACAAAGGAUCGUGUAUGACACUAAGGUGCUGCACUGGGUUGUGUGCACCUUCGUUGUGCAACACAGCCUUGUGCAGCACCCUUGUGCAACAACGCACGGUUACACAAGGACUUGUGCAGUGCUGCUGCACCCGUGACACUCUUGUGCAAAGACCUCGUGCAACACUCUUGUGCCAAAUGGGGGGGUCUUGUGCAAGGGCAUUGUUGGUGACGUAACACAAGAGCCUGGUGUGCAGUGCUCUCGUGCAACACAGUGCCAUCGUGCAACAUCAUACUGCUGCA
ensembl:lncRNA